rnacentral:lncRNA from 1 species
GUCUGAGGCCAUGUUACAGUACUUCUAUAGGUCUGAGGCCAUGUUACAGUACUUCUAUAGGUCUGAGGCCAUGUUACAGUACUUCUAUAGGUCUGAGACCAUGUUACAGUACUUCUAUAGGUCUGAGGCGAUGUUACAGUACUUCUAUAGGUCUGAGACCAUGGUAACACCUCUAUCUGUUACAGUACUUCUAUAGGUCCGAGGCCAUGGAAACACCUCUAUCUGUCUGUCUCUGUCUCUAAACACCAACAAAACCCUUUGGCUCCAAUAAAGAGAUGCCUUAUUUCCCUCCUCAUACAGUAUCUCCCUCCUUUUCUCUUAGAGACAAGGCUGCAUCACAAAUGGUGUCCUAUUUCUUAUUUAUAGCCCUAUGGGCCCUGGUCCAAAGUGGGGAAUAGGGUGCCAUUUGGGACACAACCAAGGUAUAUUUCUCCCCUCAUCUCUCUGUCCUUUACUCUUCGGAGUGAUGGUCUAUAUUCUCAUCUCUCUGUCCUUAUCUCUUAGAGUGAUGGUCUAUAUUCUCAUCUCUCUGUCCUUAUCUCUUGCAGUGAUGGUCUAGAUUCC